rnacentral:rRNA from 1 species
AUGUCCCUAUCCGUUCCGCUCGCCGGUGCGCACCGCCCGCUCGCCGAUGAAGUGGGCCCCCGCGCCAACCUUACCGAGAUCCUGACGCCAGACCGGCCCUUCCAGACCUUCUUCAGGUACCUCAAUCAGACCAACCUCGUGGAGGUGUUCGAGAAGCAGGCCUACCGGACGCACCACGGCAUAACCAUCUUCGCCCCCGCCGACAGGGCCUUCGCCGCCGUCCACCCGUCGGUGCUGUCGGGUCUGAAGAAGCACCAGCUCAAGAACCUGAUGAUGUACCACGCGCUGGCCAAGCACUACGCGCUCAAGGAGUUCGACGGCCUGAGCCGGGUCAACCCGGUGACGACGCUCGCCGGCGGGAUGUACAUGGUGAACGUGACGUACGACGCGGGGGCCAUCCGCUUGCUGUCGAGGUGGGCCAAUGCCAAGAUCCUCGGCACCCUGUACGGGGUCGCGCCCAUGGCGGUGUACGAGAUCGACAGGGUGCUGCUCCCGGAGGCGAUCUUCAGCGCGCAGCCCCCCGUGGAGGAGACCCCGCCCGACGCAGAGCCCGCGGCGAGCGCGCCCGGCGCCAAGGGUGGCAACGCGACGACGCCUGGAGAUGAGGCGGAUGGGAAGAGCUCUGCGUGCCGGGCAGCGGGUCGGCCCACGAACUACGUGGCCACCGCCGUGGCGUUGUGCGCCGCGUCGCUGGUGGCAUUGUGA